AGUGAACGCUGGCGGUAGGCCUAACACAUGCAAGUCGAACGGCAGCACAGUAAGAGCUUGCUCUUACGGGUGGCGAGUGGCGGACGGGUGAGGUAUACAUCGUAAUCUACUUUUUCGUGGGGGUUAACGUAGGGAAACUUACGCUAAUACCGCAUACGACCUACGGGUGAAAGCAGGGGAUCUUCUGACCUUGCGCGAUUGAAUGAGCCGAUGUCGGAUUAGCUAGUUGGCGGGGUAAAGGCCCACCAAGGCGCCGAUCCGUAGCUGGUGUGAGUGGCUGAUAAGCGACACUGGAACUGAGACACGGUCCAGACUCCUACGGGAGGCAGCAGUGGGGAAUAUUGGACAGAGGGCGCAAGCCUGAUACAGCCAGACCGCGUGGGUGAAGAAGGCCCUCGGGUUGUAAAGACCUUUUGUUGGGAAAGAACAGCAGCAGGUUGAUACCCAGCUGUUCUGACGGUACCCAAAGAAUAAGCACCGGCUAACUUCGUG
rnacentral:rRNA from 1 species